CCUCCCGACCCCACUGAGGGACAAGGGUGAAAGAAAAUGGACGGAUGGAUGGAUGGUUCUGAAAACCUAAUAAUUUCAUCCUAUUAGUUAGUUUCACCGGGACAUGUUCGCAUUUGAUGCACAGCUUUCUGACUUGUUUUUUGUUUCUAAUUGACAAUAUAGUUAGCUUUAAAAGAUGCUUAACAUCUUCUUUUUUUUUUUUUUAUAAAAACAAAGGAAAAUUUGAGUAAAUAUGGAAAUCCAUCACCAACUACCAGGUACAACACAAUCACUGUGCUUCAUCUAAAAUUUCCCUGUGGAGGAUGUUACAUUAUGGACCUGAGAGUGCUCAAUUAUUCAGUGAAGCCAUUUUGAAGAAGCAGCAGGUGCUUUCCCCCUCCAAUGAAUGGUCCCCACCUUGCAGUUUCACAUAUCUGUUUAUUACUAUUUAAAAUAAACUUUUAAACCCUGACUUCCCGUCCCUGGAUGGAUCACUGUGUUCCUAAAUCUCGGCAGAAUGGGGAAUAAACAAACAGCUAUGAUGAAAAUUCACAUGAAUAUGUGAAAACGAAAAAUAACCGGUCAUAUCCCUUUUCACUGUUGCUUAGCAACAAAGAAUGAGUACAGCUCAAAAGGGCGAGCGGUCGUCAGCCAGUCAGAAGAAGGUUGGUGGUUUGAUACCAGACUGGAGACUUAAAGUGUGGAAAAGUCCUUAAAAGACACAGAGAUGUUUCCGCCCAUGCGUUCGCUCCUUCUAAGUACAUAAAUGGCAAAAAACUCAGGAAUGACUGAAGUCUGGACCCAGCAACUGAGGACUCGGGGGAAUGCUCACUAGUCCCAUGCCUCAAAGAGCGGACACCACAGAGAGAUGACUGAAACAGGAAGAAAGACAAAGGGGUUAAAGCUGGCGCAUUGGGUUGAAAGUACAUGAAACAAGAAAAGAGUUGCUGCUAGAGAGGUUGGAAGGCGUGUCUGGAGUAGAAAAAAUGAGGACAAAGGGGGACAACUUAUUUCAAAACCCAGUGUCCUCUGACAAAAGCAGAGAAUUUCAAAAAGAAAAAAAAUUGGGAGAGAAAGUGGUAGAAGGACAGAAUGUGAUUAGCAAGGUAGCUGCUGAAGUAAAUAGACAGUGGAAAAAAAAGUAAAGCAUGAUUGCUUUACGUCAUAAGAGCAUACAAAUUAAAACUACUGACUCUACAGACAUCAUGGCAAACAUCGUCAUGAUGAAUGUGAAGCUGCAGCAUGUCCUUAUCCGUCACUCGUGUCAUUUGAGCAAAAGUGAAAUAAAUGUGAAGUCAUAAAGAUGUUAAAGUGCUAAACUAAAUGACCCACUGCACCUCCUUUUAUAGUGCCUCCAAAUUUCUCGCAAAUGGCUCGAAUUACAGUUAACACACCACAGGGAUUUUAGGGGCCUUAAGCGCUGCAACAUAAAAAAUAGUUCAAGAUGUUUUUAAAGCAUCCCUGAAGCUUCACUGCAAGAAGCACCAUAUUGUAGCUGCCGUGUGACGCUCUUUAAACGGAAAAACACAUCAAGUCCACAGAGUAGAUAUAAACCCCUGAAAAAAAUAAUAGUCAAUUCAGAUCCAGAAUGUUUCAAAUCAUAAAUGCUGGUGUAAAAAUCAGAUGCAUUCAACACGUCAAACUGUUAAGCUUAAAGCUGUUCAGGGUGGAAGAAUAAUCUAGAUAAAUAUCGUCCACUUAACCUCAAACCCCAAUGUGUAAAUUAUCUUUCCAAAACAGAUGCUUAGAGUGCUGGUAGUUAUUCUAAUCAAUUACAUUGUGUUUUCUAGUGUAUUCAGUGCCAUAUUAGUCAAUACUCUGCUUUUACAGAAUCGAUUUAUGUGCUGUUGAGCAAUAACGCCCAAGAACUUCUAUGUUCUUCCUUUGAUUUUAGCAGCUUUUACAGCCAAUAUAAUGCAGCUUCCUGUGUCUGAACAUUUUCACAUCAACUAAUACAUGGGAUGAGCCAGUGCUAUGUGUUCUGGAUGUUUUACCAAUUAGCUUGGGUACAUUUGCUCUGGAUGACAAACCUGCCAUGUUCUCCACAAACCAGUCGUACACAGGCAAACUCAUAAUACACUGAAUUUGAAGGCGAUAACGAUGUCAGUCAAAACCAUUUUUUUUCUGGCUAUAUUUCACCUCCCUCAAACCUAAUUGUUUCUCUUCAACAUGUUUUAUAUGUCAGCAGAAGUUUAUUAACUAAAACAAUAAUAAUAUGACCUGGAGUGGCUCUCUUGUACAUUAGAUGAAAAAACAGAUUUUAUUUCCAUCAUGGGGCUCACUCUUUAGAGCUCUGUAAGCGUAACUUUGAAAAUAGCUUCUUUUUAAUUGUUUAUAUAACCUUAAAAAGAGUAUUCACUUAAUUGUAGCAGCUGCAGCUAGAUUUAUGUGAAACUCAUUGCAUAUUCACCCUGCUGGAACUUAGCAGGGGUUUAGAGAUAAGGAUGGAAAGCUCCUCCACAUUCAAGGUUAGUUCAUUUUUCGUUUUUUCUGUUGCAAUUCAGCAAGUCAAUACAAUGUACUUAUAAAACUUUGUGGUGAAUUUAUCUUUGUUCUUUUGGAAGCAAUACAAGUAUGAGCAAUUUUUAUUGACGUCAUAUCCAUGGAAAUUAUGAGUUUUGUGUGAUUUCAUCACAGGAGAUAAAAGUUCUGAUGGUAACUGUAAUAAAAACACCAGUGAAAGUCGUGUCAGCACAUUAAACAACGCACAUCUAUAUGCUUACUUUAUGUUUUAACCAAACAGAGGUUUGGUUACGUAUUUCUGUACAUCGUUAAUGAUCCAAUUUGCUUCGGAUUUAUAGUCU